UUUGUCAGAGCCCUGACAAUCUGAGCAUUUAGCCUGUUCUACAGCCACAAUCUGUUCAAGAUUGUGUGUAAAAGACUGCCGGUUUCAAGUAUUUGAUUUGAAUUAUCUGCUUUAGGGAGUAUGGCAGAAAGAUGAGAUCAAAGAUUAUAUGCUGUGUGGUGUGAACUCACAUUCCACAUCCACUGCCAUCCACAUGCCAGCCCUGCUCGACCUCACUUUGAACCAGGACAUGUGACUUCUCGUUCUGCCUUGUUGUUGAUAUAAAACGAAAGCGGGUUGGAUUGAUAAAAGCCUGAAAUGUGAACAGUUUGUCUAUCUUACUUCUAUUUCGUCGUCUACCAGAAAGUCCGUUUACUGCCGGACUUGUUGAACUCCCGUUGAAACUAUUAAAAAACACCACCUUUUAGCAACGCAGCUUAGUUUUUGUAAACUCGCACCUGAUUGGCCCGGUUAAAUACAACACCAAUUCUGAUUGGCUGAGCGUGUCCUGUUGACCGAAGGUGGACUCCCAGAGAGUCUGGAAAAAAAAAAUCCAGCUCCAAAACUCCACCAUGCGCCUCCCCUGAGUGGGUUUGGAAUAAUCACCGGGAAGCAGUUUGUACUCUAACUAUAUUAAAUUAUGACAACGCCUGACCAUCUUGAAGCUCCCACGCUAUGAUUUUCAUGUGUCUUCUUGUUUUUAUGGACAACCGCCGCCGCUGUUGCCCGCCUGUAAUGACGCUUCGCAACUACACAGAUGGACUAAGAAAUCAAGCAAGAAUGGGGGUUUAAAUUGGACAUAAAGUGGAACAUAUUUUCUUGCAUCCUGCUGGAGCUAUCUUUACUACAAGGGUGUUCAUGGAUAACAGGAUUUUAAGUGAAGUUGAAUAAUGGCAUCACGUUGGGUUCAUUCUUGUGAAGACGAUGAAAGACAACAAGCAAGAUCUUCUUUCUGUGAGGUAAACAACAACACAACUCAAACCUCUGACAAUGAAUGAUAUUUGUCAAAUGGUGAUCAUGAAAGUGAUUUUCAGGGGCAACUGACCCUCU
rnacentral:lncRNA from 1 species